CAUGCCUACGGGGGGCAGCAGUGAGGAAUAUUGGUCAAUGGACGAGAGUCUGAACCAGCCAAGUAGCGUGAAGGAUGACUGCCCUAUGGGUUGUAAACUUCUUUUAUAUGGGAAUAAAACGUUCCACGUGUGGGAUUUUGUAUGUACCAUAUGAAUAAGGAUCGGCUAACUCCGUGCCAGCAGCCGCGGUAAUACGGAGGAUCCGAGCGUUAUCCGGAUUUAUUGGGUUUAAAGGGAGCGUAGGUGGAUUGUUAAGUCAGUUGUGAAAGUUUGCGGCUCAACCGUAAAAUUGCAGUUGAAACUGG
rnacentral:rRNA from 1 species